UACAGAGGUCUCAAGCGUUGUUCGGAUUCAUUGGGCGUAAAGGGUGCGUAGGCGGCUUUGCAAGUUGGGUGUGAAAGCCCUCGGCUCAACCGAGGAAUUGCGCUCAAUACUGCCGAGCUAGAGAGAGACAGAGGUAAGCGGAACUAAUGGUGGAGCGGUGAAAUGCGUUGAUAUCAUUAGGAACACCGGUGGCGAAGGCGGCUUACUGGGUCUUUUCUGACGCUGAGGCACGAAAGCCAGGGGAGCGAACGGG
rnacentral:rRNA from 1 species